CUACGGGGCGCUGCAGUGGGGAAUAUUGCACAAUGGGCGCAAGCCUGUUGCAGCCAUGCCACGUGUAUGAAGAAGGCCUUCGGGUUGUAAAGUACUUUCAGCGGGGAGGAAGGGAGUAAAGUUAAUACCUUUGCUCAUUGACGUUACCCGCAGAAGAAGCACCGGCUAACUCCGUGCCAGCAGCCGCGGUAAUACGGAGGGUGCAAGCGUUAAUCGGAAUUACUGGGCGUAAAGCGCACGCAGGCGGUUUGUUAAGUCAGAUGUGAAAUCCCCGGGCUCAACCUGGGAACUGCAUCUGAUACUGGCAAGCUUGAGUGUCGUAGAGGGGGGUAGAAUUCCAGGUGUAGCGGUGAAAUGCGUAGAGAUCUGGAGGAAUACCGGUGGCGAAGGCGGCCCCCUGGACGAAGACUGACGCUCAGGUGCGAAAGCGUGGGGAGCAAACAGGAUUAGAUACCCCUGUAGUC
rnacentral:rRNA from 1 species